rnacentral:rRNA from 1 species
UACGGGGGGGGCAAGCGUUGUUCGGAAUUACUGGGCGUAAAGGGCGCGUAGGCGGUCUACUAAGUUGGAUGUGAAAACUCUGGGCUUAACCCAGAGCCUGCAUUCAAAACUGAUAGGCUGGAGUUCUGGAGGGGAUAGCGGAAUUCCUGGUGUAGCGGUGAAAUGCGCAGAUAUCAGGAGGAACACCGGUGGCGAAGGCGGUGCACUGGGCCAGUACUGACGCUGAGGAGCGAAAGCGUGGGGAGCGAACAGG